AAAAUCCUCUGUGUUCAGGGCUGGCCCGGUGGCGCAGCAGUUAAGCUGGCACGUUCUGCUUCUCGGCGGCCUGGGGUUUGCCGGCCUGGAUCCCGGGUGCAGACAUGGCACCACUUGGCAAAAGCCAUGCUGUGAAAUUAUUCACUGAAAUAGAGCCAAGGAGAGGAGGAUGAAGACACAGAGGUAAGAGCUGGGUCACUCAGCCAGCCCUGGCUUCGAGGGGAGUAUGAGAAGAUUGGAAGAAUGAAUAAAUACUCAUGAUGAAGUCUUAACAGAAUGGGGACUGCUAAAUUAGAUGGUUUAACUGAGGCUGAAAUGGCCCAUGUCCUCGUUAUGGAUAAGCCAAUAUACAACUGCAUAGAAAAAAGCUUCAUGGCUCCUGUUCUACAUGAGGUGCCACAGGAAAGGCUUUCUCAAGAAACAAUACUAGUUGGAUGGAACACUCACCUGGCAUGGAGUCAUCCCCAUUUUCUGCAUGGCGGUGGAGCGUGGGAACUGCAUCUAUUCAACGUGUCUCUUACACGCUGCCUCAGCAUGCUCUAGGAUCUCUAACUGAAUUUGUCAACAAGAGAGAGUAAAAACUGGAAGAAGACUAUGCUUUUAAAUGCUAAAGACAUUUUCCGCAAUUUUCUCACCAGAACUUUUGAACCUUCCCUAGAAUGUUCUGGAGCUGCAUUCUUAGACCUCCCCAUUGCCUCCACUUUCAUUUCACCCCAAGAGCUGUUAGUUAAUAAAAACGGACCUCUAGAGCAGAUCUUCUCAGACUUUAUAUGCAUAAAAAUACGUAUACAAAUGCCUUGGGGAUCUUGAAAAAAUGUAAUUUCUGAUUCAACAGGUCUAGGGUAGGACCUGAAGUUGUAUAUUUUGAAUAAGCACUGGGUAAUGCAGAUGCUGCUGGCCCAUGGACCACCCUUUGAAUAGCAUAACUCUAGAUCUGCUUUCAAGGAAAUAAAAUGGAAUUAACAUUUGUAAGUCACAACUUGAGUUAAAAAGCUCCAGGUAAUUUAAAGAUAUUGUUUUACCCAAUUUUCUUAAGAACCUACAAAAUGUGUAUUAUGUCCAGUUUACAGAGAAAACCAAAACUUACUUAGAUAUUUUAAUUUACUCCAUAUCACCUAGUUAAAAAUCACAAAACUAGAAUUGGAUCCCAGUUUCUGUGACCCCAAAAGUCUUCACCCUUCUGACAGACCAAACUGCCUCUUAGCACUGAUGUCACUCUGAGUGCGCUGACCUGCCGGGGUUUUCUAGUUCGUCAGAGCAUCCCAGGGAUGACUAAGCCAGCGUUUGAACCCCCUUUGCACCCAAACGUCAAUACUAUGAUAGCACAGUGAUUUUUACAAAGCCAUAAAUACAGAGGAACAAAGAGAAUAGAAUGGGAAAUCUUUGGAAUACAGGAAAGCAGACAGGCAGGUGGUAACUGCGCUGACAACCAGACAGCCGGGUCUAGGAGGCUGUGGGAGGAGCCGGAAGUCAGCUGACGGCACCGUGGGUGAUUCCUGAGUCUCUGAAAAGGCCGUCUUGAGAGUUUACACCCUUCGCCAGAAGGACGAAGUGCUAGAAUUUUUAGAGUGGCUCAGGGCCUCAACAAGCAGGGAAGAGGUUAAGCUGUAAAU
rnacentral:lncRNA from 1 species